rnacentral:lncRNA from 1 species
CCGUCAGCAACCUUUCUGCCUCAACCAUGCGUUAUUCGCUUCACCGGACCACCACCAAGCCGCCGCAGCUCGCAACAAUCAACACAGCCAAACCGCCACCAUCUUCCUCUUAUCUAAGGCCAAUCACCAUCAACCUAGAAUCGUAUGAGACCAUCACCGAACAGAGACGCCAUUCUCCACCCUCGCACCUGCCAGAGAAAACCCAACAGCAC